AGCUUACAACUCCAGUUAACCGCU
rnacentral:siRNA from 1 species